UACGUAGGGUGCGAGCGUUGUUCGGAUUUACUGGGCGUAAAGGGCGCGUAGGCGGCUUAACAAGUCACUUGUGAAAUCUCCGGGCUUAACUCGGAACGGCCAAGUGAAACUGUCAAGCUAGAGUGCAGAAGGGGCAAUCGGAAUUCUUGGUGUAGCGGUGAAAUGCGUAGAUAUCAAGAGGAACACCUGAGGUGAAGACGGGUUGCUGGGCUGACACUGACGCUGAGGCGCGAAAGCCAGGGGAGCAAACGGG
rnacentral:rRNA from 1 species